rnacentral:lncRNA from 10 species
GCCCGAGUGGCUGCGCCAGCCCGAGGGGAGGGGUGUGGACUGCCUAGGCGGCGAGGCUGCGGCUGCCGCAGCGUGGAAUGCGGAGCUGCGGGAGGGCUGAGGGAGGCCCGGGCGGCGGUGGCGGAGCAUAUGGAGGCGGGAUGACCGGGCCGCGCCGGGAGCUGCGGCGGGACUGGGCGCAGGCUGGGAACUGCGCCACCGCCGCGCCGUGGCCCCGGCUCCCCGAGGCUUCUGGUGCAGAUCGCGAAGGGGGGCUCCUGCUCGUCCUCGGAGACAUCACCUGUCUGGCGCGUUUGUUAAGGGCGCCCAGAAGCAGAGGGCUUUAGGCUUCCGACAGAGCUGGAGGAGACGGACAAAAACAAUGACAGACUUGUCCGAGCUACCAUCGAAGUCUUGGGUCUGCACGCAAAGGAUGGAAUCCCCCAUCUCCAUUCCCAAAAGUUUCCCUACGGGAGCCUGGUGUUGUCUCCUCCGGAACUGUCCUCGCGGCUGCCUGUUUUUCCCUAGCCAUGGUUACUGCCUGCGGGGGAUUCAGCCUGUGAAGGCAGUCAAGGCAGUUCACCACUGUCAUCAAACCUACACCCCUGUGUGCAUGCGCACACACACUUGUAACCCAGUGGCACAAUGCAGGAAUUAGGGAAGCAAAGGCAAAUCGCUGAAUAGCUAGGGCACCUGAUCCCUGUAGGGCCCUUCCAGGUUUUUGUGAAUCUCGGUUUUAGGAGAGCUCCCUUUAUAAAAUUCUCAUGGAAGAUGCCACAUUUAAAUUAACACCACAAAACUAGGUCAUUGCAGUUCUGUUACUUUCUCUCAAAAUUGCCAUCUCCUUUAUGGUCGUUCUCUAAAAUACAAUUAUUUUAUAUUCCUUCCCCACACCUGUGAGGCGGUUGUGUUUCUAUGUUCAUGUCCACAAUUGCAUCUUACAUCUUGAUAAUAUGGAAGCUGAGGAAGAAUUAGAAAUGAGGGCCUAGACGUAAAAUGAAGGCUAACAGAAGUCGAUUCAAGUUGUGAUUCAUGAAAUAGUGUGAAUCUUUUAUGAAAUCUACAACGUCUACACUUGCCUGGCUUAAGAACAGCAUUAUUUUCAAUGCGGUCUUGACAUGAAUGAUACUUAGAUUCAAACAAAAGGUCAGUCAUUUCCAGCCAUGACAUCUUUAUAUGGGUGUGUGUUGUCUAAUUCUAAAAGUAGUAGAAAAGUUUAAUCCUAACACAGAUAAUAAGCAAUAUUUUGGUGUUUAUUAUUCAAGUCUUUUUCCUAUGCACUUUAACAAAAAUGAUACAUAAUAAAAGAGUUUUAUAGCCUCUUGCUUGCAAUUAGCAAUAUAUUAUGGACAUUUUUUCAGUUCAACAAACAUUCUUCAACAACAUGGAUUUUAAUGGUGAAGCCAAUUUUAACAGUUUCAUUUGACCAUAAGAUGCGGUAGCAAAGAAGGAAGCAAUUUCUUCUGCUUUUUCAAGUACGGUUAACUAAAGAAAUGGCUCCAAGAUACCUGCUUUUCCAACUUACAAAUAACUAGAAAGAAGUUUAAAGGAGAACCUAAAACAUGUUAGGUCUCACUAAAUGCUAAUUGACAAUGGAAGUAUAUGAGAUGUAGAUACUUUUUUUUUUUUUAACAAAAGAGUCAAGCUGUCAGUUCUUUACCUAUUCUAUUAGCGCUUGGGUACCACCCACAGUC